AAGGGAUUAGCUCAAUGGUAGAGCGCUCGUUUUACACGCGAUAUACAGAGGUUCGAUUCCUCUAUUCCUUA